rnacentral:rRNA from 1 species
CCCUUAGAUGUUCUGGGCCGCACGCGUGCUACACUGACCGGCGCAACAAGCUUUUUUCCUUGGCUCGACAGGCCUGGGUAAUCUUCGAACGCCGGUCGUGAUGGGGAUAGAUCCUUGCAAUUUUUGAUCUUCAACGAGGAAUUCCUAGUAAAUGCGAGUCAUCAUCUCGCGUUGAUUACGUCCCUGCCCUUUGUACACACCGCCCGUCGCACCUACCGAUUGAAUGGUCCGGUGAAAAUUUCGGAUACCGGCAUUGCUGGCGGUUCGCCGCCGGCGACGCUGGUAGAAGAUCUUUAAACCUUAUCAUUUAGAGGAAGGAGAAGUCGUAACA